CAAAGAGAUAGGCUUUGUAUAUUUAGGAUAAAAUGCCUACAAACUGCAUGUUGUUUCAGCAGAUGGCCUAUUCCAUGGUGAGUUUUUGGAAGAAGCAGAAGGUUUAAAGGGGCCAGUAGCUGUAAUUCCAGACAGCUGGCUGCUAGCAUUUUUAAAGAUUCCAGUGGUCGCAGGAUGUGCAACUGGCCAUCAAAAUCUGCAAGCUUCAUUAUUAAACACCAGAUUCCUCAUGGCCCAUACAUCCAGUUCGCCUGCACAAGUCAUUAAGACAAAGGAAGGAGAUAAAAAGAUGAUAUCUGGACUGUUGGAACAAGUAACAGGGAUGCACAGCUAACAGACAGCGAAGGAGAGAAGAAUGCAGAGGAAUCACUAUGUGAUGACCAUUCAAUGCAGCAGUGUCCACUACCAUUUCCAUACUCUCUGUCACAACCACGUCACACACUGACGUCACGCGCGUUCACACAACACAAAACACAGCGACCUGCCAAUGGGCUUCUCGUGUUCUUUACUAAAAAAAAAAGCCCUUACUUAUCCUCUCUCUUGGGGAAAGUGGGUAAAAGGCCUUGUA